rnacentral:RNase_P_RNA from 1 species
UGAGCUGGCCAGGCGGCCGCGUGAUCUUCGGAUCCCGAGGAACGUCCGGGCUCCACAGGGCAGGGUGAUGGCUAACGGCCACCCGGGGUGACCCGCGGGACAGUGCCACAGAGAGAAGACCGCCCUCGCCUCACGGCGAGGGUAAGGGUGAAAGGGUGAGGUAAGAGCUCACCGCGCGACCGGUGACGGAAGCGGCAAGGUAAACCCCACCCGGAGCAAGGCCAGACAGGAAGCGCUUGAGGGCUGCCCGCCCGAUGCUUCCGGGUAGGCUGCUCGAGCCCUGGAGCAAUCCAGGGCCUAGAUGGAUGGCCGCCCCUCGCGCCUCGGCGCGAGAGACAGAACCCGGCGUAUCGGCCAGCUCAUCCG